rnacentral:rRNA from 1 species
UGGGGAAUAUUGCACAAUGGGCGCAAGCCUGAUGCAGCCAUGCCGCGUGUGUGAAGAAGGCCUUCGGGUUGUAAAGCACUUUCAGCGAGGAGGAAGGUGGUGAGCUUAAUACGCUCAUCAAUUGACGUUACUCGCAGAAGAAGCACCGGCUAACUCCGUGCCAGCAGCCGCGGUAAUACGGAGGGUGCAAGCGUUAAUCGGAAUUACUGGGCGUAAAGCGCACGCAGGCGGUUUGUUAAGUCAGAUGUGAAAUCCCCGGGCUCAACCUGGGAACUGCAUUUGAAACUGGCAAGCUAGAGUCUCGUAGAGGGGGGUAGAAUUCCAGGUGUAGCGGUGAAAUGCGUAGAGAUCUGGAGGAAUACCGGUGGCGAAGGCGGCCCCCUGGACGAAGACUGACGCUCAGGUGCGAAAGCGUGGGGAGCAAACAGAUUAGAUACCCUGGUAGUCCACGCUGUAAACGAUGUCGAUUUUGGAGGUUGUGCCCUUGAGGCGUGGCUUCCGGAGCUAACGCGUUAAAUCGACCGCC